rnacentral:rRNA from 1 species
AGAGUUCGAUCAUGGCUCAGAACGUACGCUGGCGGCACGCCUAACACAUGCAAGUCGAACGCAGUAGCAAUACUGAGUGGCAAACGGGUGAGUAUAAUGUGGGAAUCUGCCUUUUGGUUUGGAAUAACACGGGGAAACUUGUGCUAAUACCGAAUAAGCCCUUACGGGGAAAGUUUUAAUGCCGAAAGAUGAGCCCGCACUUGAUUAGCUAGUUGGUAAGGUAAAAGCUUACCAAGGCAACGAUCAAUAGCUGUUCUUAGAGGAAGACCAGCCACAUUGGGACUGAGACACGGCCCAGACUCCUACGGGAGGCAGCAGUGGGGAAUCUUGCACAAUGGGGGAAACCCUGAUGCAGCGAUGCCGCGUGAGUGAAGAAGGCCUUUGGGUUGUAAAACUCUUUCGUCGGGGAAGAAAAUGGCUGUACCCGAAUAAGAAGGUCCGGCUAACUUCGUGCCAGCCGCCGCGGUAAUUC